rnacentral:lncRNA from 1 species
GUUGUGGGAAACCGCGCUGGACGCUGAGAAUGUGCGGAAGGAUCCUGAGGGGAGGACGCGAGACAGCGCGAGGAGAGACGAGGAGAGUUAGGGUUGGCCGGGAGGGUGCGAAGAUGAAGCGACCACUGGAGGCUGUGAGGGUGAAAGGAGCAAGAAUCGUCUAGAGACGGGCUGGGCCGGUGCUGGGGCCAAAGGCUUCUGUCUGUCAGGCCCUUUUUGGCGCUCACUCUAGAAAGAAGAGGCGGAGACGCGAAGAGAUCGGGUUAGAGUCAGAUUUUCGAAGCACGGAGAUGGGUUCAAUGAAAGGACGAGGAAAGACGAGAAACCAGCGGCCGGAGAACGGAGGUGGCCGCCGCCGUCCUUUGCUCUGCUCGGGGCUGGGCGCCGCCCGGAGAGCCCUCCCGGAGGGGGCGGGGCGGGGCCGGGUGAACAGAGCUGGGCGGGCUCGCCAGCUCUUCCAGGCGCCCUGGGCAAGCAAUAGUUCAACAAUUUUUAUGAAUUUCUAAUCCAACCUCAUCAUCCUAUGGGAAACAGAAGACCACCAAGAACAGCCAGCUGAGACAGAAUUUCACUGUGUUGCCCAAGCCAAUCUUAAACUCCUGGUCUCAAGCGAUCCUCCUGCCUUGGCCUCCCACUGUGCCUGGCCUAUGGACUCUGAAUUUUUUUAAAAGACUGGAAAAAACUUUUAUAAGAGAAUUGGAAAUUUGGACAAUGGAAUCUCAUUCUGUCACCAGGCUGAAGUGCAGUGACGUGAUCUUGGCUCACUGCAACCUCCACCUCCUGGGUUCAAGCGAUUCUCCUGCCUCAGCCUCCUGAGUAGCUGGGAUUACAGGUAUCUUGGCAGUAACCUCCUCCAUAUAUUUCCUUGGCCCUCAGCUUACAUCUAGCAAAAUGACUCUACUGGUUCCAGGCUUCACAUGCAUACAACAUGGUGUUGGAGGAACAGAGAUGUUUUCUCUUCCUGGUGUUUUCCCAGACAUUUCUUAGCUGGCAUUUCAAACAAGGGUCCUGAAAUUCACCCUGGUUGGGUCGUGUUCUCCCCUUCCCAUUCCCCAUCCCCACCCUCAACCGAAAAAUGAUGUAAGCAGGGGAAAUUGAAUGUACCAAUGUUUGUUUUUAAACAAGCCACAGACCCCUCCCCAACUCCCCGACUGAAGCUUGAAGUGGGAUCAGCUUUCCCUAAAGUACUUGAGCUUAUGGUAAAGCAUAUAUGUUAUCCAAGUUAAAGUCUGGACGCUGUUAGUAAUGGGAAGGCAAGUAAUGAAUGUUAGCUAUGGAGCCAACAGACAGUGUCCACUCCAUUGUCUUUAAGGCCCAACUAAAGAUAACCUCUUUACCAAUGUCGGUUUAUUUAUUCAUUUAUUUAUUCAUUGAGAUGGAGUCUCACUCUCUCACCCAAGCUGGAGUGCAGUGGAAUGAUCUCAGCUGACUGCAAUUUCUGCCUCCCAGGUUCAAGCAAUCUCCUGCUUCAGCCUCCCAAGUAGCUGGGAUUACAGGCGCACACCACCAUGCCCGGCUAAUUUUUGUAUUUUUAGUAGAGAUAGGGUUUCACCAUGUUGGCCAAGCUGGUCUCGGACACCUGACCUCAAGUGAUCUGCCUGCCUCGGCCCCCAAAGGUGUGAGCCACUGCACCUGGCUACAAUGUCAGUUUCUAUAAAAACUGCCUUGACUUGUUUUGUUUGCUUGUUUUGUUUGUUUGUGUUUUAAUUUUUAUUAUUUUUUUUUAGAGACAGGGUCUCAAUCUGUUGUCUAGGCUUGAGUGCAGUGGUGCAAUCAUAGCUCACUGAAGUGUUGGACUCCCAGGCUCAAGCAGUCCUCCCACCUCAGCCUCCCAAGUAGCUGAGACUACAGGCAUGCACCACCCUGUCUGGCUAAUUUUUUAUUUUUAGUAGAGAUGAGGUCUCACUAUGUUGCCCAAGGUGGCCUCAAACUCCUGGCCUCAAGUACUCCUGUGGCCUUAGCCUCCCAAAGCUCUGGGAUUGCAGGUAUGAGCCGCCAUGCCUGGCCUACUGUAUAUUUUAUGCAUUUGAUAUAAGUCUUGCCUCCCUAAGUAUAUUACAAGUCCCUUGAAGUUAAAGACAUUAGAUUCCUACUCAGUGCUGAGCUGCAACAGAGAGCACUCAAUGAUGGAUAAAAUAGUUUUAGCAUGCAUUCAGCGAUAUAUAUUUAGAAAGUGGAACUAGGUGGUUGAAAAAAGUGUAUAGAUGGGUGGAAGGGAAUAUUACAGCUCUUAGAAUUGUCCUAAGGUGAGAGUAACAAAUUAAGCAAUGAGUCCCUGGGUUCACUCAAGCAACUUCACUCUCUAAAACAAGAGCCCACAGAAUCCCAUUUCUGCUUUCAGAAUGAGUUUGAGGCCAAUAUUAUUUCCAUUUUUUUUCUUUUUCUUUCUUUCUUUUUUUUUUUUUUUUUUUUGAGACGGAGUUUCACUCUUGUUGCCCAGGCUGUUUUGAUCUCGGCUCACUGCAACCUCUGCCCCUGGGUUCAAGCGAUUCUCCUGUCUCAACCUCCCAAGCUGGGAUUACAAGCAUGCGCUACCACACCUGGCUAAUUUUGUAUUUUUAAUAGAGACGGGGUUUCUCUGUGUUGGUCAGGCUGGUCUCAAACUCCCAACCUCAGGUGAUCUGCCCACCUUGGCCCAGCCUCCAAUAUGAUUUUCUAAUAGCUGUGUUUGAUGAUUAUAUUUAUUCCUCCAUCAGUAGCUUUUUUAGCCUUGAAAAUAUCUAUUUAAGUUUCUUAUUUCCUUUGGAUCUAUCAAAGUGUUUUUCCCCAAGUGGCACCUGGGAAAACAUAUUCUAUUCAUUUAUUUUAUAACUGUUCCCUUGACCUCUUUAUUGCUUCCCUAUUACAACCCAAGAUGCUCUUGUAAACCUGACUUAAUAUUGGCAGUCUUCAUCCCUUGCAAAUGGAAGUGAUGACAGACCCAAUACUUUGUGUAAAAAUAUUUUGCUAUUUCUAUACAAAAUAUUUUAUUAAUGGAAACCACAUGUUAUGUAUUUUACAUAUGUUAUGACUUGAAAUUUAUGUUAUGACUUGAAAUUGGGGAAUCUGAUAUGUCUCUAAUAAUAAAG